GACAGAGGAUGCAAGCGUUAUCCGGAAUUAUUGGGCGUAAAGCGCUUGUAGGCGGCACGUCAAGUCGCGUGUGAAAUCCCCAGGCUUAACCUGGGAAGUGCGCGCGAAACUGACGAGCUUGAGUGCCGGAGAGGGUCGCGGAAUUCCCGGUGUAGAGGUGAAAUUCGUAGAUAUCGGGAGGAACACCAGUGGCGAAGGCGGCGACCUGGACGGACACUGACGCUGAGACGCGAAAGCGUGGGGAGCAAACAGG
rnacentral:rRNA from 1 species